rnacentral:rRNA from 1 species
CCUACGGGUGGCAGCAGUGGGGAAUAUUGCACAAUGGGGGAAACCCUGAUGCAGCGACGCCGCGUGAGUGAAGAAGGAUUUCGGUAUGUAAAGCUCUAUCAGCAGGGAAGAAAAUGACGGUACCUGACUAAGAAUCACCGGCUAAAUACGUGCCAGCAGCCGCGGUAAUACGUAGGGGACAAGAGUUAUCCGGAUUUACUGGGUGUAAAGGGGGCGUAGGUGGGGUGGUAAGCAAGAAGGGAAAACCCGGGGGUCAACCCCGCGGAUUGCUUUUGAAACUAUCAGGCUGGAGUGCUGGAGGGGUAAGCGGAAUUCCUAGUGUAGCGGUGAAAUGCGUAGAUAUUAGGAGGAACACCGGUGGCGAAGGCGGCUUACUGGACAGAAACUGACACUGAGGCUCGAAAGCGUGGGGAGCAAACAGGAUUAGAUACCCCAGUAGUC